rnacentral:rRNA from 1 species
GUCCGUGAUUAUACAGAUGUGGAAACGCCUUGCUCCAUCCCGAACCAAGAAGCUAAGCACAUCGUG